GACGAACGCUGGCGGCGUGCUUAACACAUGCAAGUCGAACGGAAAGGCCCUGCUUUUGUGGGGUGCUCGAGUGGCGAACGGGUGAGUAACACGUGAGUAACCUGCCCUUGACUUUGGGAUAACUUCAGGAAACUGGGGCUAAUACCGGAUAGGAGCUCCUGCUGCAUGGUGGGGGUUGGAAAGUUUCGGCGGUUGGGGAUGGACUCGCGGCUUAUCAGCUUGUUGGUGGGGUAGUGGCUUACCAAGGCUUUGACGGGUAGCCGGCCUGAGAGGGUGACCGGCCACGUUGGGUCUGAGCUACGGCCCAGACUCCUACGGGAGGCAACGGUGGGGAAUAUUGCACAGUGGGCGGAAGCCUGAUGCAGCGACGCCGCGUGCGGGAUGACGGCCUUCGGGUUGUAAACCGCUUUCGCCUGUGACGAGGAGUGAGUGACGGUAAUGGGUAAAGAAGCACCGGCUAACUACGUG
rnacentral:rRNA from 1 species